UCCAAUGGAUUCAGUGCGACGCGAACACUCACCUCUCCUUUGUCAAGUCGAUGGUGGCAAAAAUCUUAUCGUCUUCACGACCUGAACAAUGGCGGCAUUGUAACGGACGCGACAACCCCGCAGUGACCCGCGGCAUCUCCGCCAGGUGCCUACGGAACAGCCCGCUGUGGUGGAGUGGUCCUCCCUGGCUGUCCGCAAGCGAUAUCGGCCCUCCUACCCUCCCAGACCCAAAUGUCAACGACACCUGCAUGGCGGUGAGCGCUGCACCGGAAGCUCUCGAUAUCGAAGUGGUCGUUCAUCCAGUGUAGGCUACGCAGAACUGGAUGGACCUCUCAGCUUGGAGCACCCUCUCUCGACUUCUCCGCGUUACGGCCUGGUGCGCUAGGUUCGUCCACAAUAGCAGGCCCCGCCAACCGUGUACAACGGGUCCACUCACGUCCGAAGAGCUUCGGCACGCCGAAACCAUAUGGGUCUCACAUGUCCAAACCGAAGCCUUUCGGCACGACAUCUUGGCGCUCAGACACGGCAGCGUUGCUGCGGCAUCUUCGUCGGUACGUGUUUUCCAGCCAUUGCUCGACGCCUCCGGAAUACAGCGCGUCGGCGGUCGUCUUCACCAACUUCAAGAUUCGUACCAGAUCAAGCAUCCCAUCCUCCUACCCCCUAAGCAUCGAUUCACGGAGCUCAUCAUACUCGACGCCCACCAGCGCUUGCUACAGACACCAUCAACACCAUCAGACACGUGCAAGACACCAUCACCGAGGUUCGAAGCACAUUUUGGGUUAUCCGCGGACGGCAAACCACAAGGCGUGCCCUGCGCUCAUGCUUGACCUGCCGCAGACUAAGGGCGCACCUUGAAACAGCCCCAGUGUCACCUCUACCUCGGGAGCGUAUAACGCCGGCAAAUCCGUUCACAGUUGUCGGCGUAGAUUUCGCGGGACCGCUCUAUAUCUCAAGGUCAGCUUCUCCCAAGACCUCAGGGAACGUGACAAGAUGCGCUACAUCACCAUCGGUCUACAAAGCGAGGCAACGAGGACCAGUCUGACUUCCUACUACAUGUCUACUGGAUGUGACUGCCUCACUCUAUCAAGCUGGCACGACCGAUCGUACCUUCUUCUCAAGCACCGUGGAACUGGCGUCAACAAAGAGCAAAGCCAAAGGACUAUAUGGAGUGGGAACAUCAGCGGUCAUGAAGGCUUUUCUUCCACGUCUAAGCCUAAGUAUAGAUAUCGGGAAAACGGGGAGAAAUAUUCUCCUACUUCUACCAAGCGAUUUCAUCCAUCGGAGAAAUUCAACCAUAAAUCAAAAGACCCAAUGGGCAACACCAGACACCUGGACAAAGGCAAGAAAUACAGCUAAUACAGCUAUACUGCUUCAUUAAGACAAGAUAUACCCUCUAGACACCCUGUGGGUCCUCUAAUAGAAAUCCUUGUAAACGACACACCGGUCGACGCACUAGUUGAUACAGGUGCAGAAAUCUCUAUAUUAAGAGCUUUGGGGCAUUGGUAUACCACAGUGGAGUAACAGUGGUCGCCGUCGAUAGCGAGUCUCUGCCGUUCGGCUAAGAUAACCGUGGAAGUGAAACUAGCAAAUACUACAGUUUCUCUUCAGGUCUCUAUCGUCACUAACGUAAUGUAUCCCUUCAUACUUGGUAGCGAGUGGCGCACCUCUGCCAACUUUGGGAUUACUGUUUGGCCUAAUGGAAACGCCUCCAUUCAGUCAUAUCCAGACUUCGACCGGGAGGAAAUCAUCAGCAUGUUUCUGAAGAAAGACAUAAUUCAGGAAUCUUCUCAAACAUCUUCCUCACAAGGUGAUGAAUUAGAACCCAUACAAGAACGGAUCUUCUACAACACCACCACAUCCACGGAUCGAGACGAUGUUCUUCUCUUUUCUGAUUCCAAGGAAUAAACCACGUUCACAUUU